AUUGAACGCUGGCGGCGUGCUUUACACAUGCAAGUCGGACGAGUGGCGAACGGGUGAGUAACGCAUCGGAACGUACCGAGUGAUGGGGGAUAACUGUCCGAAAGGACAGCUAAUACAGCAUAUUAUUAGAUCGGCCGCUGUUUGAUUGGCUGGUUGGCGGGGUAAAGGCCCACCAAGGCGACGAUCAGUAGAGGGUCUGCGAGGAUGAUGCGCCACACUGGGACUGAGACACGGCCCAGACUCCUACGGGAGGCAGCAGUGGGGAAUUUUGGACAAUGGGCGCAAGCCUGAUCCAGCCAUGCCGCGUGUCUGAAGAAGGCCUUCGGGUUGUAAAGGACUUUUGUCAGGGAAGCGGUACCUGAAGAAUAAGCACCGGCUAACUACGUGCCAGCAGCCGCGGUAAUUC
rnacentral:rRNA from 1 species